GAUGAAGAACGUAGCAAACUGCGAUAAGUAAUGUGAAUUGCAGAAUUCAGUGAAUCAUCGAAUCUUUGAACGCACAUUGCGCCCGCCAGUAUUCUGGCGGGCAUGCCUGUUCGAGCGUCAUUACAACCCUCAGGCCCCCGGGCCUGGCGUUGGGGAUCGGCGGAAGCCCCCUGCGGGCACAACGCCGUCCCCCAAAUACAGUGGCGGUCCCGCCGCAGCUUCCAUUGCGUAGUAGCUAACACCUCGCAACUGGAGAGCGGCGCGGCCACGCCGUAAAACACCCAACUUCUGAAUGUUGACCUCGAAUCAGGUAGGAAUACCCGCUGAACUUAAGCAUAUCAAUAAGCGGAGGA
rnacentral:misc_RNA from 1 species